CUACGGGAGCUGCAGUGGGGAAUAUUGCACAAUGGGCGCAAGCCUGAUGCAGCAACGCCGCGUGAGGGAUGAAGGCCUUCGGGUUGUAAACCUCUUUUAGCAGGGAAGAAGCGAAAGUGACGGUACCUGCAGAAAAAGCACCGGCUAACUACGUGCCAGCAGCCGCGGUAAUACGUAGGGUGCAGGCGUUGUCCGGAAUUAUUGGGCGUAAAGAGCUCGUAGGCGGUUUGUCACGUCUGCUGUGAAAAUCCAAGGCUCAACCUUGGACUUGCAGUGGGUACGGGCAGGCUAGAGUGCGGUAGGGGAGAUGGGAAUUCCUGGUGUAGCGGUGGAAUGCGCAGAUAUCAGGAGGAACACCAGUGGCGAAGGCACAUCUCUGGGCCGUAACUGACGCUGAGGAGCGAAAGCGUGGGGAGCGAACAGGAUUAGAUACCCGAGUAGUC
rnacentral:rRNA from 1 species